rnacentral:lncRNA from 1 species
GGCAGAUCCAAAUUAUAGAAAAUAUAAAGAAAUUAUUUUAAAAUAUGUGCAUGUAAUUAAGUGGCACCUACCAACUUUAAAUCCUGAAUCCAAGAACUAAAGCUUCAAAUUGAAAUGCUUUUGCAGACCUUUUUUCAAACAAAAAGUAGAGUUUUUGAGGGGUACCUCAACCCUCUAAAUUCACAAAUAAAAUCAUGAAUAGAAACCCCACAAGCUCAAAAUUUUCAAUAUAGAAAGUUCUACUACUGAACCAGAGAAAAAUAAUAUUUAUAUGGCUAGAUUUCAAGAUACUUUAGAAAAGUUGAAAAGUUAACUAAAAGAGACCCACUAAAGGUAAGAAUCAAGAACAUAAAUACAUAUGCAUAAACGUAAUAGAACUAUAGCUAACACUUGAAAUUGAGCUAAAAAGAAACAACAGAAACAGAAAAAUGUUAAGUCAUGAGAAGGGGAUAAGAAUAACAGUGAUAUACACCACUACAUAUAAGAGAAUAUUGGGACAAGAAGAUGACAAAUAGCAAACAAACAGAGUACACUAAAAGCUAUGGUGAAAAAAGUUCCCUUUUUUGCUUUUAAUUUUUUAGCCAAAAAAGAAGGUAUCUAGAAAAUGGAUAUGGUGAUGGUGAAGGGGUGGCAGUAGGAGGAAGAAGAAGAAGUAUACCCGGGGUGAUUUUGUGGGGUGGGUGGGGGGAGUGGGAAAAAAGUGCAGAGCCAAUGAGAACUUCAGCAACAGAGAGAUCUCGGUUGUUAUUUUUGAUAUAUUCUAUUUUUAGCACUAAAUGAUGAGUAUUUAUUAUAUCUGCUUUUUGUCAUAUUAAUAAUCUUAUGCAAUUAAUUAAGGGGGCGUUUGUUAAAAGAGAAAAUGUUGUCCAAAAUUCCUCUCUGUUUUUGCAUAAAUGUUUCUGGAAAAAUUGACCGAAAAAGAAUUUUUUAUUUUUUUAUUUUUGAAAGAAGCUGAAAAACAAGGUUAGUUGAAAAAGAAAUUUCUUUUUUGUUCUUUUCUUUUUACAUAUUUGAAACAACGGCCAAAUAAUAUUCUCUUUUAUCUCAAUAAAAGUUAGUGUAUUCAAAUUAUAAGGUUCAAUCUUACUGGAAAAAAGUCAACAGUAUUUUUGUUUUGUUUUAUAUAUUUAGUGGGUAGUACCACAAUUGAGUGAGAAAAAGAAAAUAAUCCUUUUAAUUUCAAUAUAAACUAACAACCAUUUUAACUUUUUAUAAUAAAUUCUACAUAGUUAGAGUGAGUAUUAUAAAUCACAAUUUUGUAUAGCUAAAAAUCGUGAUUGAAGAAAAACUUAUUUAAUUCUUUAAAUAAUAAUAGUACUAUGUAAAUGAGGUAGGAAGAGUAGUUAAUUUAUCAAUUUUGAUUUCGAUGAUAUUUGGAGGAUAUACUCAUGAUUAAAUUGACACUUUUGUCUAUACAUAAGUUUUUAAUUUUGGAAAAUUUGUUUUGGUUGAUUGAAGAUUUGAAGUUGAAGGAAUUGACAAAUCAAGAUAUUUCAACAGAAAAGCUGUGAAAAUGACAAAUAAAAUUUGGGAGAAAUUCAUUAAAAAAUUUAAAAUGUACCAAACAAAAAGGUUUAAUAUUUAUUCACUGACUAUAUAAUCUUUUUUUUAAUAAUAAAGGUUCUCUUUUUUCAAUUUUAGUGUCACUCAAAAUGAACCUGGAUAUAAUAAUUAAAUUUUAGUACGAAUUCAAGUAAAUUAUCCCAAUGAAACUAAGUUUUCUUUAGGGCUUAAGUUGUUGGGACACGUGGACUAAGCAGUUUAAUUUGUAAAUAAUAAUACUAAUACUUUUUAUUUUAAAAAGUGAUUUAUUUAGGCCACCAAGUACACAGGUGUACACUCAGUAAUAGAGCUUGAUAUAAUAAUCCUAUUUACUUAAUAUUUAAUCAAUCUGCGUUUGAAUAAAUUAGACACUUCUUAGUUAAUUAAUUACAAGGUAGAUUUCGCAAUCUAUUAAAUUAUGAAUUAACUCCCUUUAUUAUCGGAGAUUAGAGUUGGAUGUAAGCUAGUGUAUUUUUUAAAUCCUUAUGGUGUUGUCUUUAUUUGGCAUGUUACUUAUUCUAUUACGUGGACGAUUGUUACGUAUGGUUUCAUAAUAUAUUAUAUUUUAUUAUAAUUAUUUGAAUAUAUUAUAUUAUUUUGAUGUCGUUUCAUGAUGUAAUUCACUCGCUAUGAAAAAUAAACUUACAAUAUUACAAUAAAAAAGUAUGAUACGAGAUAGAAUUAUUAUAUAAAAAAAUAGAAUAAAAGAUAAAAUGAGAUUAUUUAAUAACAGAAAAUGGGCAAGAUGAAAGAAAAAAGUAAGGUAAAGACGCAACCACACCAAAUCGGUCGUUACAUAAAGUGACAUUUUUCGUCGUUAUGUAACAACGAAUUUAACAAUACAUACAAUAAAAUUUAAGUAACAAUCAAAAAAAUAUUGUAUUUAAAGUGACAAUAGAAUACAAUAAAUACUCCCUCCGGUCCAUUUUUAUUGAUUUUUUGGCUCUUUUCACACAUAUUAAAGAAUUCACCUUUUAGCAUUAAUUAACAAUGAAAUUGACCAUAUUAACCUUAAUUUGUUCAUUGUAAAUAUAACAACUCAUGCUCUUUACUCCAAGAACAACUUUGAAAAAAGGAAGUUAAUUCUUUCUUGAUAUCUAAAAAUAUCAAAUAUUGUGGACAAAAAAAAAUGGUCGAAAAUCAAUUAAACUGGACCGAAGAGAAUAACCAUCCAAACAAGUUGUUAGUGUUUGGAACCAAAGGGUUAUCUUCUUUUUUUUUCGAUUUCUUGAACAAUAUCUGGUACUCAUAUUGAGGCCCGACGAGGACCGAAUUCAAGCGAAGGCGAAGCAACUGUAAUGGUUGUUUUAGACCCCAAAAAUAUUUAGGCUCCAAAAUUUAUAAUAUAUAUAAAAAUUACUGCUAGUUAAUAAUAAAUCCGAAAUUGGAUUAACCACAAUCUUCCAACUUCAAAUCAUAUAACUAUUGCCCAUUGCCCGCUAAAGAGUAAAAAUUGUAUGGGGCGCCCUAUUUGGUCGCCCCCAUUUAACCUAUACUCAUAUUUUUAAAAUUAUUUAACCUAUACCCUAAUUUUGACAACUUCAGAUCCUGCGACCUAUGCGCUCAUUUCUUCCUCCUCUUCUUUUCCUCUUCUUCUUCUUUUCUCUCUCAAACAUGUUAUCAUGUAAGUUACACAUGUUAUCAUUUCUGGAAAUUGGACAAAGCGACAAAUCAAGAAGAAAGAAAGACUCGCCACUGCCUCUCAAAUAUUAAUACAUCCCAACACAAAAUACGUAAAUAAUAAAAUAAGAGUUUAUUGUCAAAACUCGAAAAAGCAUCAACUGAAGUUUGGGACUGCAGGGACAAACUUCAGACAUUACCAAGUUAAAUUUUGUCUAAAGUUUGCAACUAUUAUGCCAGAAAAAAUAAUCUGAAGUUCAAAUAUAAUAAGUUGAUUUUGUCUGAAGUUUGCACUAUAAACUGAAGAAUUUCAGACUAAUUAGUCUGAAGUUUGCACCCCAACACAAAGUACAUAAAUAAUAAAACAAGAGUUUAUUGUCAAAACUCGAAGAAGCAUCAAUUGAAGUUUGGGACUGCAGGGCCAAACUUCAGACAUUACCAAGUUAAAUUUUGUCUGAAGUUUGCAACUAUCAUGCGAGGAAAAAUUAUCUGAAGUUCAAAUAUAACAAGCUGAUUUUGUCUGACGUUUGCACUACAAACUGAAGAACUUCAAACUAAUUUGUAUGCAGUUUGCACUAUGAACUAAAGUUUUUUUUUUAUUGCUUUUGCAAGUUAAGCCAAACUUCAGACGAAAAUAUCUGAAGUUUUACUUUGAUAAGGUCACACUUCAGACAAAAAAUUCUGAAGUUCAAACUUCAGGCAUAAAUUCUUGCUACUUCAGGCCCCGUAUGUCUGAAGUUACUCGAAAAGUGGGUACGCUUGCAAUUUUUUUAUAAAACGAAUAUAAGUUAAAUUGUGACCCAAAAACUUGGUAUAGAUGCAAUUAGUUGCGAAGGUCAUUUAAAUCUAUUUUUGAACAUACUACUCUGCAUGCAUAUUAAUUAUAUAUGUAUUACGGUGGAGAUUCUCAGAAAAAUAUUAAAGAAAUAGGACAAUUUACAUUCUUUAUAAGUUUUUCUAAGAUUUUUGUUCAACUACUCUUUAUUUAGUUGCUAUCCUUUAUAACACACAUAAGACACUUACACCCUCCAGAGAGCUUGACCUUUGCUUUAAAAGGAAAAGAAAAAUUCAAAGAUUGUGGCGGGACAUAUAAAAUUUCUUCAUUCUUAUUCAGAGAUCUCGGUUCGAGUUUUGAGAUGAAAAAAAUUAUGGUAUAGAGUGUUUCCCCUUUUAUCGAGCCUUACACAAUGCGAGUUCAAGUUAAUCUAGUCACGCUUUGGAUAUCGAAUGAUUAUUUAAAAAAAGAAGGAAAAAAAGAAGGUUUUGACUAUUUUGCCCAACAUCUUGGAGGAUAGGAACUAAAUGCUUAAUAAAUGUUUAAAUAACUAACAUGAGAAUUGAGAUUGGAAUUAGCCAAUCAAGUCAAAGGGCCAAUAAUAAAAUACUACUUUUUUACCCAUAAAUUAUGCAUUAUACAUCAGUUUGUCUGCUAAAAAUUCAGUCUUACAGUUCAUUCAUUUGACCUCAUGUAAAUUUUUGUCUUUUUCAGUCUAUUUUUCUUGAACUAGAGUAGGAGAAUCUUCAAAAAACAUUAUAAAAAUAAUAAAGAUCAAACUUCAUUUUUUUUUUUUGAUAAUUAUGGUAUUCAGACUAAUAGUAUGAUUGAUGUUAAACAAAGAGAAAUAAGAGAGCAUUGAUCAUGGGCAUGACAAUCAUAUAUAUGUAGGGUAUACGUUGAAAUUAAUUCAUAUUUUGGGCAAAUUAAUAGCUGUGCCUUUUGUUUUGUUAGGAAUGUCAUUAAAUUAGAUAACGAUCUGAUAUUUUCUAAAUCCUUAGGUAAGAAAUUACAAAAAAAAAAAAGUUCUUUGAAAAAACCGUGAAUUAGAAAGGAUUGGUCAAAGAAGUAUGAAAUGAGGACUUUUAAUAUACCUCCUAUUGCAUUUUAAUUUGUUCGAUAUUUUUUGCUUAAAUAAGUGUAUUUAGUAUGAUAAAAAAUAUUUUCCGAAAAUAUUUUGCUUGAGCACGUGAGAUGAAAUUUUUUGUUCUAAAAGACAUGUCAUGAAAUAAGAGUGAGAUGGAGGUUUAAAGACAUCACGACUGCGUAAUUCUCAAAACUAAAUAAAAUGUUCCAAAUUAUUACUAUUUUGUAUUAUAAAAAAAAGUGUUUCAAAUUAUAAUGUGUUGGGAAAAUGGGAGACAUAAUUAGCUUAUGUUGUAUGCAAUUUUAAGACUUUCUUUGUUAACUUUUUGGUGAUAACACUUGGUUAAUAGCCUGUUUGGCCAAGUAUUUUUUUGGCAUUUUUUUUUAAUAUUAGAGUUAACUCGUUUGGCCAAACUUUUAGAAGGAAAAAUAAUAUUUUUAAGUAGAAGCAAAAGCAAUUUUUGAGAAACAGAAAAAUAUAGCUUCUCCACAAAAAUACUUUUUAAAAGAUUGAUCAAACACUAAUUGUUACUCAAAAGUGCUUUUUCAAAUUGAGUGGCCAAACACAAAUUGCUUCACGCCAAAAAUACUUUUUUUGAAAAGUACUUUUUAGAAAAGCAACAACAACAAGUGAAAACUGGGAGGGUAGUGUUUACCAGCCUUAUCCCCACCUUGUGAAGGUAGAGAAGUUGUUUUUGAUAGACCCUCAGCUCAGGUGAAGCAUAGUCAACACAUUAGUUGAAAAGAAAACAAUAGUGUAUAACCCAUGAAAGAAAACAGUAACACGAAACAAUACCAACAAUAACAGAAUAACAAAAAACUGAAGCAAAUAUAAAAAUAAAUGGUAAUAAUAUAAUUUUACAUAUAAAAAAAUAUGAUAAUACUAUUGAUCCUACAAGUAAGAAAAGGAUACACUUACGACUACCUACUAGCCUUCUAUACUUGUUCUCGAUCUCCAUACUUUCUUGUAAACACUUUUCAAAAUAAGUUGAUUUUAGAAGGACGACCAAACAUGCUAUAAGUAACAACAUUUCACUUAGAAUCGACCACCACGUCAACUUCAUUAUUCAAAAGGAGAAGACAAAAUUUUUUUGCUACCAAAAUUCGAAGAUCAACCUGUCGAAAAACUAUCAGGUAGGUGAGGGUAGCUUGUCGGCAAGUUUAUGAUAGUCUUUUGUUUGACGAUAACAAGAAAGAUAAUUGAUUGCAACAUUUUCCGCCCUAUUUGUUAUUGGGUGGGGGUAAUCGGAGGAAGAUAGCACGGGGCAAAGCAAAGGGCAGAGCUUCUGGUGAUUUAUUAGGGCUGUCGAAAAGCAAAGAAAAAAAUAAGUGUGGUAUAAUAAUCAAAGUUCCUCUACCCUUAGAAAUCUCGAAUUGGAAUUCUUGGAAUGAACUUUUCUUUGCUAGAGCACUAAUCUCCUAUAAUAAGUAUGAGCAUUACAAUCUAUUUGGCCAAGUUUCUUCAAAUUCAAAUGUUUGGCCAAGAUUUUAGAAGAAAAAAAAGUGAUUUUGAACAAGAGCAGAAGCAAUUUUAGAGAAGCAGAAAAAAGUAGUUUCUCUCCAAAAACAUAUUUUUGAAAAAUACUUUUGAGAAAAGUACAUUUAGAAGCGGUUUUUAAAAGUUUGGCCAAAUACUAAGAGCCCAUUUGGAUUAGCUGAAUGUAAAUAGCUAAUAAGCUUGAAGUGCUGAAAAGUAUUUUUAAGUGCUGGAACUGAUUUUUAAAUAAGUAUUUACAUGUUUGGAUAGAUGUGCUGAAACUGUUAAUAAGCAAUUGAUGUGUUUAGUAGAAACGUGAUAAACUGUUCUUUUAUUAAAAUGAUUAAAAUAUCCUUAAAAACUUUACAAAAAAUUAUGAAUUAAAAAGUUUCUUUGUAAUGAAAAGGAUGAACAACCAAUAUGGAAUGAAGAGAAAGUUAGGAAAUUUAUUUUGUGAAUUAAAAAUAUUAUUAAGAAUAAACUAAUAAAAGCCUGGGUCAAACUAAAAGUGUUUAUAAGUUGAAAAGUCAUAAAUUGGUGUGACCAACUUAUGACUUAUGACUGCUUUUAGCUUAUAAGCACGUUGGGUGUUUACCAAACGCGUAGAUAAGCCAAAAGGUAUUUGUAAGUCAGUUUGACCAACUUAUAAACUUACAGACACCCUCUAAUUGCUGCUCAGAAAUGCUUUUCAAAUUAAUUAGACAGACACAAAAAGUACUUGUGAGAAAAAAUACUUCUCAUUUGGCCAAACAUAUUAUUAAUUGGAUCAAUAAUUCCGGACACCAAAUAAUUAAAAAAAAAGGACAAGAGGAAAGGCAUUACAGCAACGAGCAUUAAAGUACGUUAUGUGCAGUCCCCAUCAACAUUACAAUCCUCCAAACGAAGUGAUGGAACAUCACAUAUUUCUGUGUAGGAAUGAGGAUUUUAGGAGUGAUAUUUUUUGAAUAAGAUCUUAAGGUUAACGUAUAUUUUGACGUUUCAAAAAAGUUGAAAAUAACACUUUUGUUUUUAACGAUAAAGUUAACUUUUUAAGCUAAAAUAUCUUUCAAGAAUAAAUUACAAUACAAAACAUUUUUCACCUGAACACAAGGAAAAAAACCAACAAAUUUUCGUGGAUUUCAUUUUUUUUAUUAUCAUUUUCAUCCAAAAUAUAUAUAUAUUCACUAGUUUCUUAUUCUGAUUUUUGAAAUUGUUAUGGGACAAAACAUUGCUAGUAUAUUAUUGCAUAUUGUUUGAGUCAAAAUUCUAAUGUAAUUAAUGGCCACCAAUUAAAGAGACAAAUAUCUUUCCAAAUUUGUGUCAAAUAAGUAAUGCAAAUAUCUUUCCACUUUUGGAAUUUAUCCCCCACCAAAUCAAUUGCUUUCUACUUAUAGCAAAAGCAAUAGUGUAGGCUAAUCAAUCUUGAUCCUUUCCUAUGUAGUAAUAAUAGGAGGUUCUUUUGGAAAAUGUGUGGAAAAAAGAUAUGGUAACCAAAAUAUGUAUAAGGGCGGUAUACCUAUAACGGCCGUUUGCCCGUUAAAGGUAUAGCGCCCUUUAAAAGAGCGUUAUACAUAUUUUGGUUACCAUCUUUUUUUCCCACACAUUUCGGUAGUUUGAGUCCAAAAGAACCACAUUUUGGUUUCGGACUGGUAAUAAUAGUGCAGGCUAGCCACUUUUCAGUCAUGUAAUUGAAAACUAGCCACUGACAUGAAGUUUCAAAUUCCACGUAUGAAACUUCAGGACAAUAUCAUGGAAUUUCACCUGACGUAAAGUAGGACGGCGUAGCAUUUUCCAUAAGGUCAUUGAGAUUUAAACUCGUGUACUAAAGUUCACAUCGCGAUAUCUUUGUCACUGAGUUGUUCCUUUGGGCACAACCAUAUCAAUAUUAGAAGGUAGUUCCUCUCGCACCUGGUCUAGUAUCUCUUAGGUCGAUAUCCAGUAGCAGCUGAGGGAGAAGAUCGGGAGUAGAAGGUAACGAACUAGAGGCUCAGAGAGAGAUCAGAAGCAAAACUCGGCAAGGCAAGGAGAAGGCGGAACACAGGUGCUACACUAAACUAGGCGUUACCUGGGGCCACACGACUCAGGCAGACUCUACCCGUGCGCGUGCCUAUUUCGCUUAGUGCAAAACUUAGACACGCAAAUGAAAAAGAAGAGAAAAUGUAGUUCAAGAAGGGAAAAUUACACUUUUGCAAAGUACAGAACCAGAGUUCUGUGUCAAAAAGGAGUUCAAUUCAUUAACAAUUGAUACAAAUCUAAUAUUACAGUUCACAGAACCAAAAUGGAAGUACCUGACCAUUUUAUUUUGGCAACUAUGAUACAUGAAAUACUUUCUGAUAUUCGCAUCGCCUGACAAAAAUAGGAUGAGCAUUAUAUUUAUUAAGAUAUAAAAGAAGUUGAAGUAUGCACCCUUUAACACCAUAAAGAAAUCUAAUAUGCUGUUAACUUGUUGAACUACCACAAAUAACCAAUAUAUGUAAAAUCAGCUCAGUAAAAAACCACAGCUUGAAAAUAUUGAAGAAUCAGUCGAUUAAGCUGGCAAAUGUAUGCAGAUAGAACCUUAUGAAUUAAUCUUCAGCAAUCAGCAGACUUCAAAGAACUCAGGUUAAAAUGUAAGAAUAACCUCAAUAGAGCUACUUACUAUUUCCGACAGCCUUCGAGUUUGAACUGCAAAUCCUAGACUAUGUAUACUUCCUCCUUGAACUGCUUCUUCCAAGAAUAAGAAAGAUAAACCGCAAUAUACAUGCAGAAAGCCUUAGUCGAAAAUUCUCUCCCCUGUUGACAGUGCUAGAAAAACAAAAGAACUAAAAAUGCAGAGCAACCCCGGAAUGGAAAACACUGCUGUCCAGCUUUCUGGAUUUGUCAGAUCCAACUGGGCGUCUUUAGCAGCUUCCAGUAGUCGACCAGUGAGAUCAACUCCAACGAUACCAGCUAAUGUACCAGCUGUAUUUGAAACUCCCAUAAUAAUUCCAGCAUAUCUUGGAGCUAUAUCCAUGUGAUUAACUGCAAAACCGGCUCUUCCUAGCGCCAAGAAACCAAGAGCCACAGAGGAACAAAACAGAGCGCCGCCAGAUGUUCUAAAAUAAGGAAGAGCCAUUAACGCAAGAGAAGCUACAAUGAAACCCACUGUGUUUAACAGUUUUCUGGUUUUAGUUAUAGACAAGAUUCUCCUCGUGACUAAGUGAUCCGCAAUCACUCCACCAAUAUUUGAGAAUAUAAACAUGUUAAGGUAGGGCAUCAUCUUGGAAGAACCCAUUUCUUGAAGGCUGAUCUCGAGACCCAAUUCAAAGUACGUAGGAAGCCAGUUCAUGAGCACAUAAAGAGCAUAAUGAAAUGUGAAAUUAUUCACGACGAUUGCCCAAACUGGUAAGCUCAUGACGAUUCGUUUCCAUGGGAUAGUUGGACUUUUGGUGGAAUGUACUCCAUUCUCUACUUUCAUCUUUGAACUCCCUUUCAUGGGCAGCAGGGAUUCCCCAAAGCCCGACGCAGUUGCUUUUGGGUGCUCAGAACGAGGUGGAUCAACUGCAUAACUGAACCAGAGUAGAGACCACAUUGCACCUAAAGCCGCUUCAGCAAGAAACACUGACUGAGGGCCCCUAUACUUCACCAGAGUAGGAAGCAUAAGCAUCCCCGUAGCUGCACCUAAGUACAUUCCAGAAGUUGUAAAGGAAACAGAUCUAGAUCUUUCAUGUGGUGGUACCCACUGUGCAAGGACAGUGUGUAUGGAUGGAAAAAUGAAACCUUGGGCCACACCAACAAGCAAGCGGGCUAUUACCAGGACCAUUGUUCGGUUUGGGUCAAGUGGUACAAAAGCACAUGUCAAAGACCAUAAAAGAAAAGAAAGGAGGAGUACACGCCGUCCACCGAUUUUUUGAGCUGCCCAACCACCAGGUACUUGUGAACAUGCGUAUCCAUAAUAAAAGGUUGACAGAAUUACACCUUUGCUAGUCUGAUUUACUCCUGCAGCAUCAGCAGCAGCAGUAUACGCAAUAGAGAAGCCCACCCGCUCUAUGUAGCAGACAGAAGUGCAGAUGAAGGUCAAAAAUACAAUUAAAUAGCGCUUUGGAAAUCGACUGCUGCCCAUUAUUUGCUAGUUUGUAAAUGCAAGCCAUACACUAGACGGCUUGAAUUUCUGUUGAGGUGAUCCACUAAACCGUGAUGUGCAGCAGGCUUGAAAAUAAUAGAAAGAAAGAAAUUAUCAGAUCAAAACAUUUAGCUGAUUUAGUAAAUUUAAUGAUAUAGAAAUCAAACAUUAAUGGCAAAUCACAGAAAGGCAACUCAAAGAGUUUCCUAAAGGGGAAUACUGGAAACAAGGGAGAAAGAGCACGGAAUGCAGGGAAAACGCAACUGAAACAAAUGGUAAAACCCAUAUCUUGCAUUUCGAUCCAACAAUAUCACUUCACGGAAAUAACUUUUAACUUCUCGAUUGGUGCAUGUCAUCCUUGCGCAGGGGUCAUGCUAAUUAGUAAGAAGAUAUUGUUCAGAUAUUACUAACAGUUAAGAGGGUUCUGAAUGAUGCUAUUUAUAUAAGAGCUAGCCUUUCUCUUGAAGCUUUAGAAUUCUAAAAAAAUUUCCCCAGAUAAAUAAUGGACAAAAGCAGAUUUGAUCAUUACAUAGUAGCACAUCACUGAAAGAUGGCCGCCAAAAGAAGUUAACUACCAAAAGAAGUCACAACUGAUAAUCUAAAAUUAUUUAACCAUAUCUUUAGCAAUGUCAGAGAACACUUCGAUAUUCACCAAAUUAGUCCUAGUGUUGUCAAAAGCUCAUUUAAGGCGCACUUAUGCCCUGAAGCUCAUAAAAGCUUAGGGAGGGCGCUUCGCCUCGCUUAAGCUGCGGUUCAGUGUAAGGCAAGGCACUAAGACAUGCGCCUCAUUGCCCAUGAGUUCUAUCGGGAAUCAAGAGGCACUAAACAAAUUAGAAAAUAUAUGUAUUAGCUGUAAAGGAAAACAUUAUAAAUGAAUUUGUUACUUUGUUCUUGAAUUACAAAUAUAUUAUAUUUUUUCCCGUAGCUGCUCCUUUUUUUACUAAAGCCCACACUUUAAGUACGCUUUGCGCUUAAAGCCCUAAUAAACCUACAACGCUUUUUAGAGAUUUUCGCCUUUGAUAACACUGAUUAAUCCCCUAAGUUUCUCCAAAUUUGAAUUUUCCUACUCAAAACUUCAAACCAUUCUAAUUCCAUUCCCAACUAAACACAUACGUAGUAGUUUUUAAACCCAACCUGCAAAAAAUUGUUAAGAACAAUGGACCACGGAAUGCCAUUAUGGUUGCACGGAAACCACAGAAUGCAAGCAGUUUUCAUCUAAUCACUGGCGUGUGGAAGACUCGGCUCCAAAAUUUAGCUCAUGAGGUAAGAAUUAUCUAAGAUUAUAUAAGGAGAUAACAACAUAUUUCUUCAACAAAUGUGGAACACUCUAACAAGAACCAAACCCACAUUCCCAUUUCCAGCAUCAUACAAGAAACAAGUCUACAUUUUUUCUUCCCAAGUCUUAUCAAUAUCAAUCAGUUCUGCUAUAUGAAUCCUCUGAGCUAUUUCAUUUCAAUACUAAACAAUUUAUCUUUUAAGCAAAUAAAAAUGUUAUAAACAAGAAAAGGAAGUUAUUAUUAAGAAAAAAAAGUGAAACAAUGAGAAAGAUCUAUUUUGGGCACCAACUUUUCAACAGGUCAACCACAGUCCACAACCCGAUCUUACCCAACAACCUUUAAAAAUCUAUGGAAAAGAAACCCCAUUAAUCAAAUUAACAGAAUUCACAAUACCCACAAGCUUAAAAAUACAGAAAAAUUACUUCAAAAUAUACAGUACCGUCAAGAUUAAGAUAAAUUACCACAAAUCAGAAGAACUUGAUACUGACACUUCACUGGAGAUCAACAAAACACUGUUGCUUCAAUGGGCAAGAUCUUUAAUUGAUUAAUUUAAGCAGCAUUCUGAUGAGGGGGUGGGGCUAUGAUGGUGAGGAUAAGGAGAGGUCUGUAGCAGGGGGAGGUGUAAGGGUGGUGGUAUAGGUCGGGGUUUUUUUUUUUUUUUUUUGGGGGGGGGGGGGGGGGAAGUAAGUCGUAGGUUGUAGCGUUAACAAUCUUAGUGGUAGAUUUCAAGAGACAAAUAAAAUACAAAGUUUACUGAUUUGAAGAGUUUUAGUAAGAAAUUAGUGCUCCCUCCUUUCCAAGGACACAAAAUUCAAGAAAAAAUGAAUAAUUUUGAAAUUUUUGAUCCUAAACAAAUAAAAAAGGGGUUCAGAGUAUUUGUGUGGUUAUAAAAGUUUCUUAUUAAGGGUAGAAUUGGAAGUUUAAGCUACACUGUUUCCAAAUCUAGAAAUGGAUCAUUCUUUUUGAAACAGACCAAAAAGAAAAUAGGUUCAAAUAAACUAGAACGAGUAGUAAAUAGUACACUUUUUAGGUCGGCUAUUAAAGCUUAGUCAUAUUUUAAAUUGUCAUGGCAAAUUAGCUACUUAUUAAUAUAAAAAUACAAGUUUGGAUACCUCUAUCUAAAUACGGAACAACUCCAGGAACGAUUAAUGACCUGAAGAAGUAGCUCUCAAUUGCUGAAUUUAAUGUGAAUUCAAAAACCAUAAAUCGUUCUUGGAUUUUGCACUAGCAAAGGUUUAAAAACCAGUAAUUUUUUCUGAAUUUUGUACUUAAAGGUUAAAAAUUACUGAAAUAAAAUGUGAAUUCAAAAAUCAUGAAUUGAUCCUGGAUUUUGCACUAAUAAAGGUUCAAAAAUCAAUAAUUUUUUUGGAAUUUUGUAUUUAAAGGUUAAAAUUGUUGAAGUAUAAUGUGAUUAUCUAUAUACUAAUUAUCCUACUUGUGUAUAAAUAUAAACUCAUCAAAAAUGGCACUUUUUUGGGCGAAGCAUGUCAAAUCAAGGAGUUAAACAGGAACUCAAACAACAAUUGGAAAUAUCCAAGCAAUGGUUUCUUUAGUUUGAAGGAACUAGGUGCAGUUAAUAAAUGAUGUGUGGCUAUAAUUUCAUAGUUUAACACAUUAUUAGCCUUGCAUUAUAUAUGCUUUAAUGAUAAAUUAUACUUUAUUUGCGCGUAAUGGAGUCUAUUUUAUGUGUAGGUAAAUUGGAUAUGAAAGUAGAGCAAAAGAAAUAAGUAAAGUCUAAAGCGUGCUCGAAAACAAUUGAAAAGAAGAAAGAAAGAAAUGAGCAGCCGACAAAUAAAAAGAUGGCAAAGUCAGGCCUAGAGCAGGCGGGGCGAGCCUUCCACCUCGCAUUAAGGCUGGCGACGCCAGGCCUGGGGCGGGCUCCACCGGGCGUUGAAGCUGGCGACGCCAGGUCUUAUAACGACCCGGCCGGUCAUUUUGAGAAUUUAAGCUCCGUUCGGUGGUAUAAGGUCUUGAACAGCUUCAUAUUAUGUGUAUUUGACUUGCGUACGUGGUUGAAUUCAGUUACCGGAUGAUCCAAAGUGAUUUGGGAUACUUAGUCCCUAAAACGGAAGCUUAAGUCUUAGGAUUUGGACCGUAGUCAGAACUGUGUGAAGACGACUCCGGAAUGGAGUUUCAUCGGUUCCGUUAGCUCCUUUUGGUAAUUUUGGACUUAGAAGCGUGUCUGUACUGUGAAUUUGAGGUCUGUAGUUGAUUUAGGCUUAAAAUGACAAAAGUUAAAUUUUUGGAGAUUUUGACCGGAAGUAGACUUUUUGAUAUCAGGGUCGGAAUGCGAUUCCGAGAGUUGGAACAGUUCCGUUAUGUUAUUUGGGACUUUCCUGCAAAAUUUGACGUCAUUCCGGGUUGGUUAGAUUGGUUUCGGCAUGAGUUUUCAAAGUUGGAAGUUUUGAAAGUUCAUAAGUUCGAUUCGUGGUGCGAUUUAUAUUUUCGUCAUUGUCUGAUGUGAUUUGAGACCUCGAGCGAGUCCGUGUUAGGUUAUCGAACUUGUUGGUAUGUUUAGACGGGGUCCCGGGGGCCUCGGGUGAGUUUCGGAUGGGCUACGGGUCAUUUCCCCCUAUUUUGAACUGUUGUUAUUUGUUAUCUGGUUUCCUUCAUCGCGUUCGCGUCCUUGCCUUCGCGUUCGCGUAGUGUUAUUUUUGAGGGUGAAAUAUUUCCUCUUCGCAUUCGUAGUCACCCUCUCGCGUUCGUGAAGUUCUGUCACCCUCUUCUUCGCGCUCGCAUUCCCUAUCUCGCGUUUGCGAAGUGCAAACCAGGCCCUGGACACUGGUGAUCAUUUUUCUCUUUGCGCUCGCAUGUCGCUUACGCGUUCGCGUAGCUAUUCUAUUACACUCUUCGUGUUCGCGUACUACUUCACGCGUUCGCGAAGAGCAGUCGUUGGGCCAUCAUAUUUUUCCUCUCCGCAUUCGCGGACAUGUUGUCGCGUUCGCGAAGAACAACUGGGCAACUUUUGUUUUUCUUCUUCGCGAACGCGUUCCUUUCUCCGCGUUCGCGAUGCACAAAACACCUAGGCAAAAUAUAAAGUCCUCUAUUCCGAGGGUUUGCCAUUUUCACCAUUUUUGGAGUUCUACAGCUCGGUUUUGAGCGAUUCUUUGUGGGUUUUUCAAGCAAAUCGAUUGGAUAAGUGUUCUUCACCUAGAAUUUAUUAUAUUUCGUGAUUUUAUCUUUAUUUUUAUCAUUUAAUUUGUGUUUUGAGUUGAGAAAAAUGUUGGUUUUUGAAGAAAAUUUCCAAAAUGAAAAAAAAUCAUGAUUUGAGGGACGAAAUGGUAUCGGAAUUUGAUAAUUUUUGUAUGGUUGGACUCAUAUCGGAAUGGGUGUUCGGGUUUUAUAAAAUUUGAUGGGUUCCGAGGUGUGGGCCCGGGGUCGAUUUUUGUAUGAGUUUUAUUUGUGCUUUGAAAUAAUUUUUUUUAGAUUUGAGCCGUCCGGAGGUCAUUUCACCCGAGAAGUUUAUUUUUGAGUAUCGGUCUGUCUUCUUUGAGGUAAGUAUCUUGCCUAACCUUGUGAGGGGAAUUUUUUCUUAGGAUUAUAGUCUUCUAUGUUGAUUGUAGUCCGUGUACACGAGGUAACGAGUGCGUGGACGGACUUAUUUGUGAAAAGUUGGCCUUUUGGAUUCUUAGGUCCUUGUAUUCGUUGAAUAUGCAGUUGUUCUUGUUAUGAUUAUAUAUCUAAUUUACUAGAUUUACACCUACCUGCUUAAUUAGAAUCAAUUGCUUCAUGAUCCACUAUUAUUGUUGCUUGAUUCAUAUGUGCCUUAAUUGAAGUUGUUAUCUCAUUUAUAGCCAUGCUAUCUUUUCAUAACUGCUUAUCUUUAUUUGGAAUUAAUAUUAUUUCAUCCUAUAAUUGUUCAGUCUUAAUUGAGGUUAUGAUUAUUUUUUCGCUGCUUAACCUUAAUUGAAUUGUCUAAUAUCCUUUGUAAUUUCCUCAACCUUUAAAGAAGUUUAGAUAUCCUAUAUCUUAGACGACUUGUUUUAUUUGGAAUUAUUUGAUUUGUAUUAGCUUCCCUGUUGUUGAAGUGUAUAUUGUGGGAUCGUUGCUACGCAUUAGUUUUCCCUUUGUUGAGCUGUUCUCUUUACGCCUAGCUAUUUUUAUUGUGGNNNNNNNNNNNNNNNNNNNNNNNNNNNNNNNNNNNNNNNNNNNNNNNNNNNNNNNNNNNNNNNNNNNNNNNNNNNNNNNNNNNNNNNNNNNNNNNNNNNNNNNNNNNNNNNNNNNNNNNNNNNNNNNNNNNNNNNNNNNNNNNNNNNNNNNNNNNNNNNNNNNNNNNNNNNNNNNNNNNNNNNNNNNNNNNNNNNNNNNNNNNNNNNNNNNNNNNNNNNNNNNNNNNNNNNNNNNNNNNNNNNNNNNNNNNNNNNNNNNNNNNNNNNNNNNNNNNNNNNNNNNNNNNNNNNNNNNNNNNNNNNNNNNNNNNNNNNNNNNNNNNNNNNNNNNNNNNNNNNNNNNNNNNNNNNNNNNNNNNNNNNNNNNNNNNNNNNNNNNNNNNNNNNNNNNNNNNNNNNNNNNNNNNNNNNNNNNNNNNNNNNNNNNNNNNNNNNNNNNNNNNNNNNNNNNNNNNNNNNNNNNNNNNNNNNNNNNNNNNNNNNNNNNNNNNNNNNNNNNNNNNNNNNNNNNNNNNNNNNNNNNNNNNNNNNNNNNNNNNNNNNNNNNNNNNNNNNNNNNNNNNNNNNNNNNNNNNNNNNNNNNNNNNNNNNNNNNNNNNNNNNNNNNNNNNNNNNNNNNNNNNNNNNNNNNNNNNNNNNNNNNNNNNNNNNNNNNNNNNNNNNNNNNNNNNNNNNNNNNNNNNNNNNNNNNNNNNNNNNNNNNNNNNNNNNNNNNNNNNNNNNNNNNNNNNNNNNNNNNNNNNNNNNNNNNNNNNNNNNNNNNNNNNNNNNNNNNNNNNNNNNNNNNNNNNNNNNNNNNNNNNNNNNNNNNNNNNNNNNNNNNNNNNNNNNNNNNNNNNNNNNNNNNNNNUCACUACUUGGGAGGAAUUAGACAAGCAAUUUGUAAACAAGUUCUGCCCACGCAAUAAGUCUGCAAAACAAAUUGAUGAGAUAUUGAGCUUCAGGCAAAGACCAACAGAAACACUACAAGAAACGUGGGAGAGGUUCAAAGGUAUGCUAGUUAAGUGUCUGCAUCAUGGCAUUCCAGAGCAAAUGUUGGGGCAGAGGUUUUACAUAAGAUUGGUAGACAACUUAAAGGCCAAUGUUGAUGUUUCAGCGGGUGGGGCAUUUUUUAGCAAAUCAUUCAGAGAAUGCAAGAUCCUACUCGAUAAAAUGGCUCAAAACUCAAGAUGGAUGACAAGAGACUCUACGAUCACUCCUGUAGUUCACUUUAUGGCUUUGGACCCAAACAACUCUAUAGCCGAAAGUAUGGCCACUCUGAUAACACAAAUGAGUAUCCUCACCAAGAAGAUCGAUGAAUCAGGCCAGAAGUAACAAGUACACAUAGUUGAUGUGACUAAUGAGGGCUUAUGUACACCAUGCAUUAACCAAUCAUAUGCAUGCUCCUGGAGUGCGGAAGGUGAGAACCAGCACUAUCUGGAAGAUAUGAACUAUGUGGCCAACUAUGGGGGACAGAAACAAGGUGGUCAGAAUUGGGGACAACUUAAUCAACAAUAUAGACCAGCACAGCAGCAGUACAAUAACAGCAACAAUCCUGGAGCUAUACGACCACAGGGUCAAGUGGUGCCUUACCAAAGGCAACAAGCUUACAACCAGCAAAAUCAGCAGCUAGCUUAUCAACAACCUCAACAACAACAGACUGUGAGACAAGAUGAUGAGUUCGCUGAACUUAAGGGAAUGCUGGACAGCAACAACAAAAUGUUACAACAACUGAUUGGGUCCACUGGAAAAAUGCAAGAGAGAGUGGACUCACAUGAAUCAGCGAUAAAGGGUACUGAGAUUCAAUUAGGACAGAUUUGUGUGGCUCUAAACAAUCAUACCCAAAGGACAUUACCUGCAGACACACAAGUCAAUCCAAAAGAUCAGGGCCCGAAAUAGCUUAUGGCAGUGAGUCUACGAAAUGGUAGAGACCUAGAUCUGGAGCAAGAGAUUGCUCGCGAAAGCCGACCCACUGAAACACUUGUGCCAGUACCCAUUGAGAUAGAUGAUUCAACAUGGUUAACUGAGGUGACGGUACAACAUGCACAAGAGAGCACAAGCAAAGAAAAAGAGGUCGCGAAGGAGACUGAGGUAGCACAAGAAACGAUAGUAGAAGCAGUGCCUGAGCAAGAUAAAACUCAAAUCACAGGAAAGAAGUGACCUCCAACACCAUUCCCGCAGAGAUUGGCAAAAUAUCAGAAGGACAUGCAAUAUAAGAAAUUCAUGGAGAUGUUGAAAUAAAUACAGGUGAAUAUUCCACUGAUUGAUGCGUUGCGGGAGAUGCCUAAGUAUGCCAAAAUGAUGAAAGAUUUAAUGUCUCGCAAAUUCGACUUAUAUAAUGUCUCGUAACUCUCUCUCUCGGGUAAUUACCAUAAGCUAUCCUUUUAGUUUUUAGGUACUAACAAGUUUGCAGGUGAUUUUGGGCAAGUCGAGGAGAAUUUUCAGCAUCACAUGAAGGAAACCAGGCGGGGGACCUCACCUCGCGAGGGCUGAGGCGAGGUAUAGCUGGCGAAGGAGCUCGCCUCGCCUGGGGUAAGGCCCAGGUACACCAGGCGCUAAGCCUCGCGUCGCAUGGGUUGAGUCCAGGUACUUCCCGCGUUAAGCCGCGCGCCUCAAGCUCCCAGGCUCGCGUUAGAGCAGACGAGGCGAGGGAUUACGCGAGGUACAUAGGCAAGUGCUGCCAGGUAAGGAAAUUCGGACUUGUUUUUAAUAUUUUUUGGUUCCCUUAUAUUACUCUAACCCCCCACUUACAUGCCCAACCUAAACUAAACAAAAUAAAACCCUAAGGCAAACACUCAAACUUCUCCUAGUUCCUCAAACACUCAAGCAAAUUCAUCUAAGGCAAAUCACUGCUCAAAAGAAAAAUUCCUCCCUCUCACACACUCACAUCAGUUACCACUGCUAAACCCCUUCCCUUCACAACCCCCAUUGAAGACAAGCAAUAUUAGGUAAUUCAAAGGCAAUUCCUUCUUCUUAAAGCAUACAAGGUAUGGUUUUUGUCUCUAUCCUUUGCAAUUUUGAGUUGGAUGCAGGUAUGAAAUUAGACACAAAACAAAAUGGGGUUGUUCUUCAUUGUAAUAAUGUGUUUGUGUGUACCAACCCCAUGAACCCCAUAGGAAUGGUGUUGCUAUUGUAUGAACACAUACUCACCCCUACAAGCACUUCCAUGGCACUAGUGCAUGCUAAGUGUUUGCUAUAAUGCCUCAAUGGCAUUCCUUGUCCCCAUUGGAGCCCGAGUCUCCGGGAUUAAUAGACUAGUGUUAUGUAGUCGCGCAUCACGUUAAAAUCGCAAGUGUAGGGUGCCUCAUUGGUAGAUCGAUGCUUCGAAAUUGGAGGAAGCACCCAUGUGUUGCGGUUUGAUUCUCAUGUUAAGAAAAUACGAGGUGAAGUCUGAGUAACCUCGAAAAUUUGGGCAAGACUAUGUAUGUUAUAUCGUAAUGCAGUUUUAACUGAUUGAUGAUUACUUGUGUAGGAACGAAUAUGCCUCCGAGAAAAGACACCGACAAAGGAAAGGCUACUUCCACUGCUCCGGCUAAAGCAAAGGCGACCUCCGCACCUCCCCCAAAGAAGAGAAAAUGGGGAGAAGCUACCUCCAGUCGAGGUGAAUGAGCACAAGUUGUGGCAGCUAUAGCAGCCCCACAAACCCCAAGGCCAAUGGGAGUUUGGCAUCAGAAGCAUACCCCCGCAUACUAAGGAUUGGUACAGGCGCUAUAGGCCUAAACAGGUACAUCUAGAGGCCGCUAUCCAUGAACGCCGACUGCAAGCAAAGUACCAAGCUAUUUGGAGGGGCAUCCAUGAUUUGGGUUUGAGCUGUGUCUUUAAGAACACAUGGGAUAUUAAUCUCAAUCUAGUGAGGGAAUUCUAUGCAGGGUUUGAUCCAUAGGAUACCGAACAACUGGUGUCGAUUCGUGGACGGUUGAUAAACUUUUCAGCCACAACCAUAUGUAACUUUUUAGGUGCUCCGGAUGUUCCUGUGGAGCCAUUGGACUACUUUAUUCGCCGUCCUACAUAUAGAGAGCUGAGACACACGUUAUGUGGUGUCAAUUCUAUGACAGUGUGGAUCCAUGAUAAGAAAACAAAUCGGCACAAGAAGUUCCCCAAAAAGAAGAUGAGGACGGAGGCUUAAAUUUGGUUGAAACUGAUUAAUGCACGACUCCUACCGUGCAAUAAUGACACGCUCAUUAGCCGAGAGAGGACUUGUGCGAUCUAUUUCCUCAUGACGGGUCAAAGGGUGAAUGUGGGUCAUCUAAUUCGCUACCAAAUAUCUUUGGUAAGAACGAGUAAGAUGGUUGAUCGAAUGCCAUUUGCCAAUUUUUUGACUCAGUUCUUAAGACACGAGGAGGUUGAGGAGGAGACAGAGUUUAACCACAUCAUCGAUCAGCCCAUACGACAGACAGACAUCACUAGUAUCCGGGUGAAGGAAGAGACUACCAUGCCAUCAUUGACAGGUGCCAAACACAAUGCUCGUGAUGAUAGUUUUAUGGCCCAUUUUGAUGAUGGAUUUGCAGCUGAUGAUAGGGGGUCGGCCAACUACUAUAGCAGAGAGGUACAUAUUGGAGGAGUGGUUCCCGCUCAAUGCUCAUGCUCAGCAACUGGUUGGGCUAGGUGAUGGAUACAGACUCCCAGAUGAUGAGGAUGUCAAAACAUCUGAGCAGUCCGAGGCCGAGCCAGAGCAGUCAGAUGAUGAGGAUGAUGAUGAUGAUGAGGAGGAAGCACAAGAUUAAGAGUGGGAAGCCUCAGAGGAUGAGGGCGACGAUGCAGCAUGACCAUGGAGUUUUUCCUUACAAUCUACUCAGUUUUCUUGUUUUGUCAUUUUGUGCAUGCAUUGAGGAUAAUGCAUGAUCUAAGUGUGGGGUGGAGACUUGUAAAUAUUAGUGUUGCUUAGUUAUUUGUGUUAUUUUAGUAAGUACCGUAGUUGUUUUAGUUGAUUGUUUUACGAUGGAUCUCUUAGACAGUUUUCUUGAGGGAAGUAAGUCUAAAGAAAAACAAGCCAAAAAGAUUUUCUUGUAGGUAGUGUAUAAUUCCCCCUUGAUUUUUCUUUGGGCCGCGGUUCUUUUCCAAGGGCUUUUAGUUGAACCGGGUGUAGUUAGUUUUAAUUUUUAGGAGUAGGAACCAAGGGGAUAUGCAUUUAAUUGCAACAAUAUCUCUUAGCUUUGUUAUGCCUUGAGAAUAGUUAGUACUAUAGUUGUGGCGCUUAGGCUCGGUUUUUGACUCUAGUAUAAGUACCUUAAAUCAAAGAUUCUUAAUUUUGCUUAACUGCUUGUAUUAGAGUGUCGCGAUGAAACCAAUCCUGAGUGAGUUAUGUGCCAUAUCUGUGUGAGGUUCUGUAGGUAUUCUGUGCAUUGCGUUUGAUGUCUAAAACUUGCCCCGUGUGUGUGCAAAAUGAAAAAGUAGUCUUGUUCAGUCUAGGAAGUGAUAUAGGCAUUUCUUUGUUAAGACAGAUAUAUAUAGUUUACCCACCUAAAUGUUAUGUAUCAUAGUUAACCCCUUUGAGCCUAUAAUCUUGUUUUUUUGGUAACCACAUUACAAGCCGUACCCUUUUGUUUGAAUUGACCAUAAAUUUGAACCUUGUCACCUCUCAUGAGCACUUGAAUGGUGAUAAAUUAUGUAAAAGUUAAAGUGUGGGGUGGUAGGUUGGCUUUUGAGUGGAACAAUUGAAAUGAGGAGAAAGGUGCAUUGUCUUGAAAAAACAAAGAUGUCAAUAAAAGCCACUUGAAGAGAAAAAAGAGAGAAAAAUAAUAAUAGUGUAUUGUAUGAAAAAUAAUUCUUGAUAAUAGUGGCUAGUGAUAUACUUGUGCUUAAAGAAGUAUGAGGUAAUAUAAUUUGAAGUGAAGGUGGAAUGUUGGGUUUGACAUAAGUAUGAGCUAUUGUAUUAAGGUAUAUGUAUUAAAGUACUUAAGGGAGGUGUAGUCACUCAUAUUCAAAUAUAUCCUACCCGACCCGCAGCCUACAUUACAACUAAUAAAAGUCCUACUUGAUCUUAGACUGAAUGAACUCGAUUAGUAGGGUAUUACACUACGGACAAGCCUAUGGUGCAUCAUGUGUGGCAUAUGAAUGUUAUUUCUGAGAGCGAGUGAAUUUUUCCUAUCUUGAGUUCCUACAUUCUUAAAAUUCAUGGUGUGUAGAACUAAGCUCUUUGAUUGGGUGAGGGCACAUGAUUCAUAAGGGAAAUGUAAUGUCAUUGACCUCCAUGUUGGAGUAAGUGAGUGAAUUAUAAAUAAGGCAUGGUAUUUGUGAGUCAAAAUCUUGAGGCGAGGAUGUUACACCUUUGGGCUUAGACUAUUUUAAAUAUUCUUGGUGUAAUGAGUUAAGGGAAUUGUUUAGAAAGGUUGUGUCUAUAAGUGUAGUUUGAUUGCUCGAGGAUGAUCAAUGUUUAAGUGUGGGGUAUUGAUGUGUGGCUAUAAUUUCAUAGUUUAGCACAUUAUUCGCCUUGCAUUUUAUAUGCUUUAAUGAUAAAUUACACUUUAUUUGCGCGUAAUGGACUCUAUUUUAUGUAUAGAUGAAUUGGAGAUGAAAAUAGAGCAAAAGGAAUAAGUAAAGUCUAAAGCGUGCUCGAAAAUAAUUGAAAAGAAGAAAGAAAGAAGUGAGCAGUCGACAAAUGAAAAGAUGGCGAAGCUAGGCCUAGAGCAGGUGUUAGAGCAGGCGGGGCAAGCCUUCCACCUCGCGUUAAGGUUGGCGACGCCAGGCCUGGGGCGAGCUCCACCAGACGUUGAAGCUGGCGACGCCAGGUCUGGGGCGAGCUUCAGCUCGCAUGAAGCCUGGCGAGGCUAGGUCUAAGGCGCACACAUUCCGUACUUUGAAGGCUUAUUUCGUCUCCUGGUUUGACUAGGACUUGGCCUACGCGUUUAGGUCUUUUCCUACACAUAUAAAUAGACCUAAAACGUCACUUUUGAAGGAGUUGUUUUGGCAAUUAGAGGCAAAGAUAGCUUAUGGAACAACCGUUGGAAGCUAGACUCAUCGAUUUCUACAUCUCUUUAUCCUUACUUUAUAAUUUAAUUAUGUAAAAUAUUGUGGAUAUUGUUACUAUGAGCAUGAGUAGCUAAACUCCUAAUCUAGGGUUUUGAUGGAACCUAUUGGAGGAUGAUUUUUCUGUUACGUUAAUAUAGAUUUGCCGUAGUAUUUUCUCUAUUUGUUCAACUAUAAUAUUAUUGUGGUUGAUUGAAGGGCCAUCAAUUGGCUGUGCCUAUUUAGUAUGUAUUACUCGGGAGAGAGUGCAUAUUUAGGUAGUUGUUGAACAACAUCACUCCUAACGUAUAUGAGGGAUCAAUACGAAGGGUUUAAAGGUGGGAUUAGGGAUAACGAAACCUUGGUGCGAUCCGAGUGAGUCGUACUUAAUGCCAGCUAGCGUAAUUCGGGAGAAUAUGUCUAGUAAAUUGUAGUAAUUACUCGCGAGAGAUUUACAACAGUCAGAGUGCUCAUGAUCGAUAGAGAAGACUUAGGCGAAUUUAUAGAAAACGUAGCGGAAAAGAUUCCGACAAUAGGGGAAAUCACAACCUUAGAUCAUUCUAAUUCUUGUCUACAACCCGUUAGUAGUUAGUUAUUAAUUGUUGCAAUAAACUUUAGAAGCAAUAUCAAACAGGUUAAUUCUUCAAUAAUUAAUAAUAAAGUGAUAUUUUUUAUAAAAACAGAAUCUUGUGAGAGUUUGAGACUCAUAUGCACAUGACUAAUUUACUUUAACUUCAACCACAAUUUUAAUUUCUAGGGUGUAUAUCGUAUAGUGUGGCGUUUUUCGCAAUAAAAAAAUGACAAAAUUGGUCCUUUAUGUUUGAAAAUAGGUUCAAAAUAGUUCCUUAAGUAAUAUACUGAGCAUUUUUGGUCCUUUAAAUUUGAAAAAAGGUUAAUAUUUUUAGUCUCUAUUAAGAGCCCGUUUGGAUUAGCUGAUUUAAAGUAGCUGAUAAGCAUUAGGUGCUGAAAAACACUUUUAAGUGCUGAAACUGAUUUAAUAAAUAAGCAGUUACGUGUUUGGAUACAAGUGCUGAAAUUGAUAAUAAGCUGUUGCAGUAUUUGAUAAAAAAGUGCUGAUAAAAUCUUUUUCUGUUAAAAUGAAUUAAAUAACCUUAGAAGUGUUUACACUUAUAAGAAAGUAAUUUCUUCAAAAUUUUAGAUUCCAAAUCGAUCCAAAUACAAAGUAUUCUAUUUGUCAUUUUAUUUUAAAUACAACUGUGCUUAGAUAAGAUAACUUUUAUGAUAAAUAUAAUUUAUUUUAUGAUAAGCAUAUAAUCAUAAGUUAUAAUAAUUAAUAAAUUGAUAAAAAUUUCUCAGUAAAAAAUAAACCUAAAUAUGACAAAAUAUUUAAAGAGAACCAAACACUGUCUUUAUUACCACAACACUUAGAAAGCAAUAUACCAAAAAUUUGAUAUGUUCUCAUUUAUUACAUACAGUUCAAAGAUUAAUACACAAUCACAUAGAUAUAAAUAUGCAAAAGAAUAGAGAAUUUGCUUAUUAAAUAAUCAAUGAGCAUUGCAGACUUGGGAGGGGGGGGGGGGGGAUUAGGUUGAAAUAGUACUUGAGGCAGUGAGUAUCGAUGCAAAAGUUUUGUUCAAAAAAGAAUAUUUUAAGAAUAAAAUAGUAAAAAUUUUAGGUCAAACUUAAAGUACUUAUAAGCUAAAAAUUUAUAAGCUGGGGGUGACCAGCUUAUGGUUUUUGACUUAUUUUUGACUUAUAAGCACUUAGCUUAUAAACACUUUUAACUUUACCAAACGCGUAGAUAAGCCGAAAAGUGCUUAUAAGCUAGUUUGACCAGCUUACAAUCUCAGCCAAACACCCUCUAAGUAUUUAAUGAACUCUUUGUGUUAUAUUUGUCGGAACUAUAAAAACAAAACAAAAAAUUGGUGAGAACUCUGUAUAUACUAAUGGGCUACUUUGAACCUAACCUCAAACAUAGGGGGUUAUUUUUAUCAUUUUCACUACACCUCCCCCAGUACAGACCUCCCCAACCACCUCCUUCAGAAUGCUUGAAUUAACAAAUUAAAGAUUUUUGGCCAUUGAAGUGACACUGUUUUCUUGAUCUCCAGUGAACUGUUCAUAAUCUUGCAAAUACCCACUACCAGGUUCUUCUGAUUUCUGGUAAUUAAUCUUAAGCUUAAUGGUGCUGUUGAAGUAAUUCUUUUGUAUCUUUUAGCUUGUGGGUAUUAUGAAAUUCUCUUAAUUUGAUUAAUGGGGUUUCCCUUUCAUAGAUUUUAAGGUUGUGGUAAGAUGGGGUUUGGGGAAAUGUAGUUGACCUGUUGAAAAGUUGGUGUCAAAGAUAAGAUCUUUUUCAUUGUUUCACUUUCUGUUUUUAUUUUAAAGAGCUUCUUUUUCUUGUUUAUACUAACAUUUUUAUUUGAAUGACUUGCUUCUUAUAUAAUGCUGGAAGAGGGAAUUGGGGUUCGAUUCUUGUUAGUGUGUCUCGUAUUAGUUGAAGGAAUAUGCUGUUGUCUCGUUACGUGGUAUUGGACAAUGCUGACCUCAUGAGCUAAUUUUCGAGGUUGAGUUAGGUCCAAGCUCCAGAACCAUGUCCAUCCUUGUUGUUGUAUUUCAUAAUGUUGGGCCCCGUAUCCGGUCUUGAGCAUGUGUGGUUGUUAGAAUAUCUCACAUUGGUUGAAGGAAUGCGAUUUUGUCUCAUUAUAUGGUCUUGCGCAGUCCUUAGCUCAUAAGCUAGUCUUUAAGAUUGAGUUAAGCUCAAGGUCCGUCUUUCUUAACCAUUUUGCGCUGGUUGGCUUUAGAAACUAUGUGUUUAAUUGGGGAUGGAAUAAGAUUUUUUUGAAGUUUUAAGUAGGAAAGUUCAAAUUUUGAGAAACUUAGGGGACUAAUUUGGUGGUAUAUUGAACUGAUCUCUAACAAUGCUAAAGAUAUGGUUAGAUGAAUUUUAGAUUAGAAGAUGUGACCUUUUGUAGUGGUUAGCUUCUUAUGAUGGCCAAUCCUUUGAACGUUAUUUCUUUGGAAGUGUUAUUGUUGAGUUCAAAUGCAAGAUAUGAGUUGUACCAUUUGUUUCAGUUGUGUUUUCCCUUGUUUCCGGUAUUCCCCUGUUUGGAAUCUCUUUGAGCUGCUUUUGCAUGAUUUACCAUUAAUGUUUGGUUUCUAUAUUGUUAAAUUUAGUAAAUCAGCUAAAUGUUUUGAUCUGAUUCUUUCUUUCUGUCUAUUAUUUCAAGCCUGCUGCACAUUACGGUUUAGUGGAUCACCUCAACAGAAAUUCAAGCCGUCUAGUGUAUGGCUUGCAUUUACAAAUUAGCAAAUUAUGGGCAGCAGUCGAUUUCCAAAGCGCUUUUUAAUUGUAGUUUUGACCUUCAUCUGCACUUCUGUCUGCUACAUAGAGCGAGUGGGCUUCUCUAUUGCGUAUACUGCUGCUGCUGAUGCUGCAGGGGUAAGUCAGACUAGCAAAGGUGUAAUUCUAUCAACCUUCUUCUAUGGAUAUGCAUGCUCACAAGUACCUGGUGGUUGGGCAGCUCAAAAAAUUGGUGGACGGCGUGUCCUCCUCCUUUCUUUUCUCUUAUGGUCUUUGACAUGCGCUUUUGUACCACUUGACCCAAACCGAACGAUGGUCUUGGUAAUAGCCCGCUUGCUCGUUGGUGUGGCCCAAGGUUUCAUUUUCCCGUCCAUCCACACUGUCCUCGCACAGUGGGUACCACCGCAUGAAAGAUCAAGAUCUGUUUCCUUCACAACUUCUGGAAUGUACUUAGGUGCAGCUACGGGAAUGCUUAUGCUUCCUAGUCUGGUGAAGUAUAGGGGUCCUCAAUCUGUGUUUCUUGCUGAAGCCGCUUUAGGUGCAAUGUGGUCACUACUCUGGUUCAGUUAUGCAGUUGAUCCACCUCGUGCUGAGCAUCCAAAAGCAACUGCUUCGGGCUUUGGGGAAUCCCAGUUGCCCACGAAAGGGAGUUCAAAGAUGAAAGUAGAGAAUGGAGUACAUUCUACCAAAAGUCCAACUAUCCCAUGGAAACGAAUUGUCAUGAGCUUACCAGUUUGGGCAAUUGUUGUGAAUUAUUUCACCUUUGACUAUGCUCUUUAUAUGCUCAUGAACUGGCUUCCUACGUACUUUGAAUUGGGUCUCGAGAUCAGCCUUCAAGAAAUGGGCUUUUCCAAGAUGAUGCCCUACUUUAACAUGUUUAUAUUCUCAAACAUUGGUGGAGUGAUCGCGGAUCACUUGGUCACAAGGAGAAUCUUGUCUAUAACUAAAACCAGAAAACUUUUAAACACAGUGGGUUUUGUUGUAGCUUCUCUUGCAUUGAUGGCUCUUCCUUACUUUAGAACAUCUGGCGGGGCUCUAUUUUGUUCCUCCGUGGCUCUUGGUUUCUUGGCGUUAGGAAGAUCUGGGUUCGCAGUUAAUUACAUGGAUAUUGCUCCAAGGUAUGCUGGAAUUAUUAUGGGAAUUUCAAAUACAGCUGGUACAUUAGCUGGCAUCGUUGGAGUUGAUCUCACUGGUCGACUACUUGAAGCUGCUAAAGACGCUCAGUUGGAUCUCACAAGUCCAGAAAGCUGGACAGCAGUGUUUUGCAUUCCGGGGUUGCUCUGCAUUUUUAGUUCUUUCGUUUUUCUAGCACUGUCAACAGGGGAGAGAAUUUUCGACUAAGGCUUUCUGCAUGUAUAUUGCAGUCUAUCUUUCUUAUUCUUUGAAGAAGCAGUUCAAGGAGGAAAUAUACAUAGUCUAGGAUUUGCAGUUCAAAUUCGAAGGUUGUCGGAAAUAGUAGCUAUUGAGGUUAUUCUUACAUUUUAACUUGAGUUCUUUGAAGGCUGCUGAUUGCUGAAGAUUAAUUCAUAAGGUUCUAUCUGCAUAUAUUUGCAGCUUAAUCGACUGACUCUUAAAUUAUUUUCGAGCUGUGGUUCUUGGAUGAGCUGUUCGUAUUACAUAUGUUGGUUAUUUCUGGUAGUUCACACAAGUUAACAGUAAAUUUCAAAUUUCUGUAUGGAAGAAGAAAAGCCUCGUUUGUCCAUAGAUUUUUUUCUCCUUUUUUCCGGAAUUUGUUUUUUCAAAAUCAUGUUUGUCCAUGAAAAUUUGUAAGUUUUUUUGGAGAUUUUCGGAAAAAAAAAAAAAACUUUUUUCCCCAGUCACAAAAUUACAAUAUUUUUUUUAAGGGAAAUGCAUGUCCAAAUAUAAUUUCAAAUUACAAAUGCUAUUUUUCAACUUAAUUUCAAAUACUAUUUUUUUUAAAAAAAAUCAUAUUUUUUAUGUCCAAACGCCUACAAAGUAUAGUCCUAAUUCCAAAAUGCCUAUUUGACAUGUUUUCAUCACAUCAAUCAAUCAAUUGAUCAACUACACGUCAAUCCUAAACAAGUUUGGUUCAUCUGUGUGAAAUACUCUGUAUUCAUUUCUGUUCAAAUAUUCAAAAAUCUUCUUUCAAGAGAAAUUAAGGAUUCUCAAACUGAAGACUAAAAUAAAUACUAGACAAGCAAUUUUAAUGAUUAUAGGCUAGAUACAUAGCAGCUUCUCCUAUCUAAACAUAAUAUUGGAAGUUGAACAUAUAUGAUUUUAUUGUCAUCUGGAACAAACAGUAACUUCCCUGGCUACCACUCUCUCUAUGAUUGAAUGUUAAAAUACACAGUAUAAGAUUCAUCUCUCAAGCUAAGUAAUGGUGCCAAAACAAAGUUUCUCUUUGCCCCUUUUGCCACAAAACUAAUAGGAUGAUAUUCACUAAUGCCAUUUCCCAAUUUAAAGCUUGCUGCCUGUUUGAAACCAGCAUCCGAGGACUCUGAAUUGCAGCUA